rnacentral:rRNA from 1 species
UGGGGAAUCUUCCGCAAUGGACGAAAGUCUGACGGAGCAACGCCGCGUGAGUGAAGACGGCCUUCGGGUUGUAAAGCUCUGUGAUCCGGGACGAAAGAGCCUGAGGUGAAUAGCCUAAGGAAGUGACGGUACCGGAAAAGCAAGCCACGGCUAACUACGUGCCAGCAGCCGCGGUAAUACGUAGGUGGCAAGCGUUGUCCGGAAUUAUUGGGCGUAAAGCGCGCGCAGGCGGCUUCCUAAGUCCAUCUUAAAAGUGCGGGGCUUAACCCCGUGAUGGGAUGGAAACUGGGAAGCUGGAGUAUCGGAGAGGAAAGUGGAAUUCCUAGUGUAGCGGUGAAAUGCGUAGAGAUUAGGAGGAACACCGGUGGCGAAGGCGACUUUCUAGACGAAAACUGACGCUGAGGCGCGAAAGCGUGGGGAGCAAACAGG